rnacentral:rRNA from 1 species
CACGCCCUAAACGAUGAUAACUCGCUGUUGGCGAUACACAGCCAGCGGCCAAGCGAAAGCAUUAAGUUAUCCACCUGGGGAGUACGACCGCAAGGUUGAAACUCAAAGGAAUUGACGGGGGCCCGCACAAGCGGAGGAGCAUGUGGUUUAAUUCGAUGAUACGCGAGGAACCUUACCUGGGCUUGAAAGUUAGCGACCGACUCCGAAAAGAGUCUUUCAGAAAUGACGCGAAACUAGGUGC